rnacentral:sRNA from 1 species
GUGACCUAUGAACUUGGUAACUUCUGACCUAUGAACUAGGUAAGUUUUGACGUAUAGCUAGGUAACCUGACCUAUGAACUAGGUAAGUUUUGACGUAUAGCUAUGUAACCUGACCAAUGAUCUAGGUAAGUUUUGACGUAUAGAUAUGUAACCUGACCUAUGAACUAGGUAAGUUUUGACGUAUAGCUAGGUAACCUGACCUAUGAACUAGGUAGCUUCUGAACUAUGAACUAGGUAACCUGACAUUUGAACUAGGUAUCUACUGACAUAUGAACUAGGUAACUUCUGACAUAUAAACUAGGUUACUUCUGAUCUAUGAACUAGAUAACCUGACAUUUGAACUAGGUAUCUACUGACAUAUGAACUAGGUAACUUCUGACAUAUAAACUAGGUUACUUCUGAUCUAUGAACUAGGUCACCUGACAUAUGAACUAGGUGGCUUCUGACCUAUGAACUAGGUAACCUGACAUUUGAACUAGGUAUCUACUGACAUAUGAACUAGGUAUCUACUGACAUGAACUAGGUUACUUCUGACAUAUGAAGUAGGUAAUUUCUUACAUAUGAACAAGGUAAGUUUUAACUUAUAGCUAGGUAACCUGACCAAUGAACUAGGUAACUUCUGACAUAUGAACCACUAAGUCCUGCUAAUCACAGCAUACAGAAAGGACCUAAUCAAAUCGAUUUUUUACUUAAAAAUUUUUUUGAUUUUGAAUGCCCGAAACACAAUUUUGAAAACAUUGAAAAUAAAUGCAUCAUCAUAUCGUCUUAGAAAUAGCAUUUUUAUUAUUCAUAAAUUUUAAGUGUAAGGAAAGACAUCUUAACAAGUCUGUUAGUUUCUUUAUAAAGACUUCUAUUAACGCUUCCGAUACAUUUGACAAGGAAGACAACUGCUUUAAAUGGAAAGUCUAUCCAAGAAAUAUAAGUACAAGUGCAUUAAAUUAAAAGGUUGGACUGAAAAAUAAAAAAAA